rnacentral:rRNA from 1 species
UACGUAGGUGGCAAGCGUUGUCCGGAAUUACUAGGCGUAAAGGGCAGGUAGGUGGUUUCGUAAGUCUGUUGUGAAAGCUCCCGGCUUAACUGGGAGAGGUCAACAGAUACUGCGAGGCUUGAGUAUGGGAGAGGGUACUGGAAUUCCCGGUGUAGCGGUGGAAUGCGUAGAGAUCCGGAAGAACACCGGUGGCGAAGGCGGUGUGCUGGGCCGUUGCUGACGCUGAGGCGCGACAGCGUGGGAAGCAAACAGG